UGAGAUGGCAAACAGGAGGGCUGGAUGA
rnacentral:piRNA from 1 species